rnacentral:rRNA from 8 species
AUUUUACGUCCCCUGCCCUUUGUACACACCGCCCGUCGCUACUACCGAUUGAUGGCUCAGUGAGGCGUCCGGACUGGCCCAGAGAGGCGGGCAACUGCCACUCAGGGCCGGAAAGCUCUCCAAACUCGGUCAUUUAGAGGAAGUAAAAGUCGUAACAAGGUCUCCGUUGGUGAACCAGCGGAGGGAUCAUUA